CCUACGGGGGGCAGCAGUGGGGAAUAUUGGACAAUGGGGGGAACCCUGAUCCAGCCAUGCCGCGUGUGUGAAGAAGGCCCUCGGGUUGUAAAGCACUUUCAGUGAGGAAGAACGCCUGGUGGUUAAUACCCAUCAGGAAAGACAUCACUCACAGAAGAAGCACCGGCUAACUCCGUGCCAGCAGCCGCGGUAAUACGGAGGGUGCGAGCGUUAAUCGGAAUUACUGGGCGUAAAGCGCGCGUAGGUGGCUUGAUAAGCCGGUUGUGAAAGCCCCGGGCUCAACCUGGGAACUGCAUCCGGAACUGUCAAGCUAGAGUGCAGGAGAGGAAGGUAGAAUUCCCGGUGUAGCGGUGAAAUGCGUAGAGAUCGGGAGGAAUACCAGUGGCGAAGGCGGCCUUCUGGACUGACACUGACACUGAGGUGCGAAAGCGUGGGUAGCAAACAGGAUUAGAUACCCUGGUAGUC
rnacentral:rRNA from 1 species